UACGGGGGGGGCAAGCGUUGUUCGGAAUUACUGGGCGUAAAGGGCUCGUAGGCGGCCAACUAAGUCAGACGUGAAAUCCCCAGGCUCAACCUGGGAACUGCGUCCGAUACUGGAUGGCUUGAAUUCGGGAGAGGGAUGCAGAAUUCCAGGUGUAGCGGUGAAAUGCGUAGAUAUCUGGAGGAAUACCGGUGGCGAAGGCGGCAUCCUGGACCGACAUUGACGCUGAUGAGCGAAAGCCAGGGGAGCAAACGGG
rnacentral:rRNA from 1 species